UUGCUUUGGCAGCACAUAUACUAAAUUGGAAUGAUACAGAGAAGAUUAGCAUGGCCCCUAUGAGCAAGGAUGAUAGGUAAAUUUGUGAAGUGUUCCAUAUUUAA